rnacentral:rRNA from 1 species
CAGCAGCCGCGAUAAUACCGGCGGCCCGAGUGGCGGUCACUAUUAUUGGGCUUAAAGCGUCCGUAGCCGGGUUGGGAAGUCCUCCGGGAAAUCUGGCCGCUUAACGGUCAGAAUGCCGGAGGAUACUCCCAGCCUAGGGAGCGGGAGAGGCCGAGGGGAUUCCCGGAGUAGGGGGGAAAUCCUAUAAUCCCGGGAGGACCACCUGUGGCGAAGGCGCUCGGCUGGAACGCGUCCGACGGUGAGGGACGAAGGCCAGGGGAGCAAACCGGAUUAGAUACCCGGGUAGUCCUGGCUGUAAACGAUGCGGACUUUGUGUCGGACAAGCUAUGAGCUUGUCCGGUGCCGGAGGGAAACCGUUAAGUCCGCCGCCUGGGGAGUACGGCCGCAAGGCUGAAACUUAAAGGAAUUGGCGGG